AUUGAACGCUGGCGGCAUGCUUUACACAUGCAAGUCGAACGGCAGCACCGGGAGCUUGCUCCUGGGUGGCGAGUGGCGAACGGGUGAGUAAUGUAUCGGAACGUGCCUGGUAGUGGGGGAUAACUACUCGAAAGAGUGGCUAAUACCGCAUGAGAUCUUUGGAUGAAAGCGGGGGACCUUCGGGCCUCGUGCUACUGGAGCGGCCGAUAUCAGAUUAGGUUGUUGGUGGGGUAAAGGCCUACCAAGCCUGCGAUCUGUAGCUGGUCUGAGAGGACGACCAGCCACACUGGGACUGAGACACGGCCCAGACUCCUACGGGAGGCAGCAGUGGGGAAUUUUGGACAAUGGGCGCAAGCCUGAUCCAGCAAUGCCGCGUGCAGGACGAAGGCCUUCGGGUUGUAAACUGCUUUUGUACAGAACGAAAAGUCUCUGGCUAAUAUCUAGAGAUCAUGACGGUACUGUAAGAAUAAGCACCGGCUAACUACGUG
rnacentral:rRNA from 1 species